AACGAACGCUGGCGGCAUGCCUAACACGUGCAAGUCGAACGAGACCUUCGGGUCUAGUGGCGCACGGGUGCGUAACGCGUGGGAACCUGCCCUUAGGUUCGGAAUAACUCCCCGAAAGGGGUGCUAAUACCGGAUAAUGUCUUCGGACCAAAGAUUUAUCGCCUUUGGAUGGGCCCGCGUUGGAUUAGCUAGUUGGUAGGGUAAAAGCCUACCAAGGCGACGAUCCAUAGCUGGUCUGAGAGGAUGAUCAGCCACACUGGGACUGAGACACGGCCCAGACUCCUACGGGAGGCAGCAGUGGGGAAUAUUGGACAAUGGGGGAAAGCCUGAUCCAGCAAUGCCGCGUGAGUGAUGAAGGCCUUAGGGUUGUAAAGCUCUUUUACCCGGGAUGAUAAUGACGGUACCGGGAGAAUAAGCUCCGGCUAACUCCGUG
rnacentral:rRNA from 1 species